UUUACUGUCUGUUCCGUGUUAUUAUUCAAUAGCAUGCGCGAAUAAAUUCUCCUAUCCUCAGGAAGAAUUCAACUUCUAGUUUCGGUGAAAGCUAGUUAAAUAUAAUCAACGGAAACAACCGUGCUAUCGAGAUAAUGUCAAGGAGACAGGACUUGGCUGGAUUUGAUGCGUUGGGAUACUAACGGAGUCAUCGAAACUGAUACCAGGAGUCCAUCCGGCAACAUCGCAACCUUCCUCUUAACCAUUAACCGUUCGGCACCGAGCGCCACUCUGACUGCCUUUGUUGCAUCCAUAAAAAGAGAUGAAAUAAUGAAAGAGAAGAAAAAAAUCACAACCACUAGUCACACACUGUCCUACGAUACCGUAAAAAAUAAAAACAAUCAGCGGGAUGAGGAUCUGGGACAAAACAAAAGGCAGCGUUCCUCGAAAUGGUAAUGGAGGAAACUCAAGGUGAUCUUGGAUCCUCUAAUGGGCGACCUUCAAAAUCCCAUCUUCGCUGGGAUAAGAGUCCUAUGGAUUACAGAGGGGUCUCUGAGAGAUUGAUUUUGUCGACUGUUGAGUUUCUUGGUGAUUAUGGAUGAUUGAUAUUUGUUGCUUUUUUAUUUUGCAAUUAAUAUCCUAUAUUUGAUGGCCAUUGGUCAAGUUAUACAGAGGGAACAACAUCAUUAUUCUAUACAUUCCAAAACGUAUACUGCGAAAAUUUCAGUAGGGUUAAAUUAUGUUUUCCUUGAACUAUUAUGAAGGACUAUUGUUAAGAAUAAUAAACCAAAAUCAGAUUAGCACUGAUGUGAAGUAGU